rnacentral:rRNA from 1 species
UACGUAGGGUGCAAGCGUUAAUCGGAAUUACUGGGCGUAAAGCGUGCGCAGGCGGCUUUGCAAGACAGAUGUGAAAUCCCCGGGCUUAACCUGGGAACUGCAUUUGUGACUGCAUGGCUAGAGUGCGGCAGAGGGGGAUGGAAUUCCGCGUGUAGCAGUGAAAUGCGUAGAUAUCGGAAGGAACAUCAGUGGCGAAAGCGGCUUCCUGGACCAGUACCGACGUUCAGGCACGAAAGCGUGGGGAGCAAACAGG